ACCACAGAAGUGUUUGGCAAAACAGAAAAGGUGCUGUUGCUUUUGUAAGAAAAACAAAUCGCUCAUUUACUAAACUGGGAAACAAAUGCUAAUCCUUUCUCAGGGGUUUCUUUUGAACAUUCAUCAUAAUUUUCCAGAAGUUUCAUACACUCUGGUAAUCGGCAAAUAAAAGAAGUGCCUGUGCGUCUGGCUCCCUAAUUCAGCCCCAAAGGCUCCUUCAAAGCAGAUCUUGUGUGCUGCAGAUUUUUAGAGUGAGGAUUAUCAGCAGAAGACAAAAACAUGAGGAAACCAGAGACAUCUAGUCCCAGCUGAAGUUGGAAAACAAAUCUGAGACCUGAACACAAUGGCUUUUUCUGCAGUGUCAUGCUACAGCCUAGAAAGAUUUCCAAGAUUGUCAUUUCAUCAAACCCACAGAACCUUUUGGAGAAUGCAGAUGCUAUUACCUCCAUUCUUCAUAUGACAAAAAGUGAGACUCAGAAAGGAAUAGUGACUUGCUCAAAUCCCACAUCUA